AUGAUUCUUUUAUUUAUCCUGUUCAUUUUUGUCCUGCCUAUUCAAGGAUAUAAACUGUGUUUCUUCACAGAAAUUUCCAAGGAAACUAUAUUUCGUACAUUGAUGGAAAUGUAUGGAAAGCAUACAGUUGGACCGAGAAACUGUGAGUAUAUUCUCUCCAAAUAUCUGAAUUACAUAAGGAUUCAUUUGAAGGCCUGCUGUCCCUCCAGUAUUUGUAAGUUAGUUAAUCACAUUUAUGAGUUUUUAGUCAUAUAAUCUGUAAAACGAAUAAGGGGUUCAAAUUAGAUAAUCUCUAAGAUUUCUUCCAGCAACAAAAUUCUGCAAUUCUGUAAGUUUGUAUAGAGUCUCAGCCCAUCUCUAGCAUUAGUUACCUCCUAUGCGUUUUUAGUUUUUUAAUUCCAUAGACAAAAUACAGACAGAAAAAAAUUUCACAUGGUAAGAAGAUCUGAGCAGUGACUGACACCCGUAUGAACCUUGUUUUAUAAGUGUUCACACACCAUCUUCUUCUAUUCAGUCUACAACCAAUAGAUAAAAUCUAAUGUAUGGUCUAUUUUUAAAUAGCCCAUUAAGUUAAGAUUUUUGCAUUUUUAAAGGACUGUGAAAGAAAAAGAAAAGAAGCAAAGAGAAAUAUGUGAGAGAGAUCACAUGUGGCCCAGAAAGCCUAAAAUAUUUACUGUCUGACCUUCACAAAAAAGAGAUUUGAAAAAGCUGGUUGAGUAGGAUGAAAGGAAUUAAAGUUAACUUCAGAUUGUUGCCUAAAUGAGAAGAUAUAGACCAUCUACAUUCAUUUGUACAUCAUUAAUCCAGAAUUUUUUGGUAAUUUAAAGGGAAUUAAAUUAAUAUUUAAAUAUUAAAAAUCAGCUGAAUUAUAUAGAUAAUAUUAUCAAGAAUAUUAAGCCCCCAAGAGAAUAGACUGGUAUUAAGGAUUUCAUUUCAGGAAUUGUUAUAUGAAAACAGAUGUUUAAAAUGGUGGUUAAGUGGUAGAGCUAGAAACGUGUACACUCAGAAGUAUACCAGAAAUGCCCCUAACUCUUCACUAAUUACAAAAUAACUAUCUCCCCAGCCGUGUUACCAAGAAAGGGAUACCCGCAUAGUAUUUCUGUCUGUUUAGAGACAAGAAGAUACUAUGUUCAUUGCUAUGAAAGCUUGAUUCUUAUCCUUUGUCUCCCUUCCUAAACUAUCCUGCACACAGUCAGAGAAGUGUGUAUGUCAUUAAUCCUUGUUAAGCUCAUUAGUGAUGCUCUUUGUGCAAACAGAUUCUUUCAAUGUAGAAGGAUUAAGGAAAGUGGGUGUAAAGACCCUCAAGUGGAUGCCAAAGUGCUACAGAGGCCAUGAAAUGAUAAAACUACAUUUCCUUUAAAAUAGUCAUUUUCCUUCCACUCACUCCCCCAGCUAUUCAUUUAUUUUACAAAUAUUUGAAUUUGCUUUAUU
rnacentral:lncRNA from 1 species